UACGUAGGGCGCAAGCGUUAUCCGGAAUUAUUGGGCGUAAAGAGCUCGUAGGCGGUUUGUCGCGUCUGCCGUGAAAGUCCGGGCUCAACUCCGGAUCUGCGGUGGGUACGGGCAGACUAGAGUGAUGUAGGGGAGACUGGAAUUCCUGGUGUAGCGGUGAAAUGCGCAGAUAUCAGGAGGAACACCGGUGGCGAAGGCGGGUCUCUGGCAGUAACUGACGCUGAGGAGCGAAAGCGUGGGGAGCGAACAGG
rnacentral:rRNA from 1 species